GUGCUCGCUUUGGUGGCACACAUACCAAAACUGGAAUGAUACAGAGAACAUUAGCACAGUCCCUGUACAAGGAUGACACACAAGUUUGUGAAGUGUUAAAAAAAAAAAAA
rnacentral:snRNA from 1 species